UGUCAGAUAAAAAUUAAAAACUAAUAUGAACUGUUUAUUAUGUCUGUUAUAUUCCAAUCAUUAAACAUUUUAUUUUACGUUAUCUGUUAUUCAUUUCAAUCGUUUAUCGUUUAGUGUUAUAUUAUCAGUUAUCCGUUACUGAUUUUAAUAGUUUUUGAAUUGUUUCACGUUAUAGUAAGAUUAUUUUAAAAACGUUUUGAAACCCUGGUUAUAAUACUCGUUUUAUAUUAUUUUUCUAAACGAGCUGUAGUACCGGAGAAAAAAAACAUAUUCUA